GCAAAAGUAACUUUUGCUAGAGGAUGCACUAUACAUAAAUUAAGACGGUUCGUCAGUCUUCAUGUGCAAAAUAUGCAACUUGUUCUCUCCCAGUAAACCAUUGCUGCUGUCUCAUGUUACUGAGACUCACUCAAAUGAAGGAGGGGAUCCUGACUCUUUUAUUAUAGCACUUAAGCCUUUAACAACUCAGGAGCCACGAAUUCAGAAGUUGUUUUGAAAAGAAAACGUGGAAGACCAAAAGGCUCUACUAAGAAAGUCCAACCAGAAAAGGUCCAGAAAAUAACACCUAAUCAGCAGGAGAAAGAGUCCACUGCGAUACACCCGCUAGCCGGAGAGCCUAGUGAGGAUGGCAGUGAUCUGGAGUGCAAGAGAUGCAAUCGUGUAUUCAGCAACAGAAGACAAAUCUCCAAACACAUUUGCUUUGUAGGACUGAAAGAGGCUGCUGAGGAAGAAGAGUAUGGUAAUAAUACUGAUGCAAAUAAAAUCAGUGAUGGAGAAGAGGAGAAAGAGAGGACACCAAAGAAAGCUCGAGCGAUGCGGAC